GUGGGGAAUCUUCCGCAAUGGACGAAAGUCUGACGGAGCAACGCCGCGUGAGUGAUGAAGGUCUUCGGAUUGUAAAGCUCUGUUAAUCGGGACGAAAGAGCCUAGUGUGAAUAAUGCUAGGAAGUGACGGUACCGGAAUAGAAAGCCACGGCUAACUACGUGCCAGCAGCCGCGGUAAUACGUAGGUGGCAAGCGUUGUCCGGAAUUAUUGGGCGUAAAGCGCGCGCAGGCGGAUCUGCCAGUCUGUCUUAAAAGUUCGGGGCUUAACCCCGUGAUGGGAUGGAAACUACAGAUCUAGAGUAUCGGAGAGGAAAGUGGAAUUCCUAGUGUAGCGGUGAAAUGCGUAGAGAUUUGGAAGAACACCAGUGGCGAAGGCGACUUUCUGGACGAUGUCUGACGCUGAGGCGCGAAAGCUAGGGGAGCGAACGGGAUUAGAUACCCGAGUAGUCC
rnacentral:rRNA from 1 species